UACGGAGGGUGCGAGCGUUGUCCGGAAUCACUGGGCGUAAAGGGCGCGUAGGCGGCUUCUCAAGCGUGUGGUGAAAGUCCGGGGCUCAACCCCGGAUCGGCCGUGCGGACUGGGGAGCUCGAGUUCUGUAGAGGCGGGUGGAAUUCCGGGUGUAGCGGUGGAAUGCGUAGAGAUCCGGAAGAACACCGGUGGCGAAGGCGGCCCGCUGGGCAGAGACUGACGCUGAGGUGCGAAAGCGUGGGGAGCAAACAGG
rnacentral:rRNA from 1 species